rnacentral:misc_RNA from 1 species
UUUUUCCCCAUCAUCUACUACAUGUACAAAUGUUGUUUUCACAAUUUGCCAAUGUGAACGCAGAAGAUGCUACUCCUAUUAUUCUACUACGGCGGCACGUGCAAAGUCACGGACGUUAAAGUCUCGUUUGACACUUGCGGCUGAAAAUAAUCCAUUGGUGGCCCCACUCAAAAAGGCUUGUGCAGGUGCAUGAACAUAUCCUGCAGCGGCGACAUCUGAUAACUGCUCUGAAACUGAGAACCUAACAAGCUAUUAUCCACCGUUGUGGCGCCGGUAGUGGCAUCCAUGUAAUUAAAUGGAAGAUCGAGGGUAGCUUUCUCCCAAUCUGUCAGUUUCGGCUCACUCUGCACUUCUCUUUCACAUGUGAAUUCGGGUGAGAGCACGUGUUCCGAGCAGCUUGAAUCGGAGUGCAUCUUCGGAACUGAAUCGGACGGCAGGUAGAAGAAAUCGUUGUGCAAUUGCUGCGGCUGAGGAUGUGGAGGUAGCGGUGGUAGAAUCUCCGGCUUCCGAUCUUCUGGAGAUCCAACUUUAUCCAUGUAGCAGGUAGUGUUCAUUUUCCUGUUCUUCUCAAUCGAUCCCUUUUUGUUGUAAAUUCUACAUAGAACCCAAUCGUCCAGCCUUAAGCUAUUGUUAUUCUUCCGAGCAGAUCGAUCAACAUCAGCUAGACGAUAUUCAUGCAUGAUCCAAUUAGUUUUCUCUCCUUUAGGUGCUUUACCAGAAUAAAACACCAAUGCUUUCUUAAUUCCCACCGCUUUCGGAUUUCCAAUCGGCUUAUCCGCACCAGUAGCCUUCCAAUAUCCAGUUCCAGCAGCUCGAUUAGGUCGUGAACCAUUCGGAUACUUCCGAUCUCGAGGUGAA